rnacentral:lncRNA from 1 species
GUCCUGCUCUGCCAUGGUAGAUGUGCUUGCUUUCCCUUUGCCUUCUGCCAUGAUUGUAAGUUUCCUAAGGUUUUCCAGCCAUGCUUCCUGUACAGCCUGCAGAACUGCUCUUUCCUUUAUAAAAUACCCAGUCUCAGGCCUGUUAUUUGAUGAAGAUGAUAUAAAUAGAAGCAGAGCAGCACAUAGUGUGACCACGAAAGGCCAAAGAGCACAUACUGGAGACCUGAAUGUCAACCAAACUGCAUAAUCCCUGUUUAUCUUCAUUGUAGAAAUUGCCAUAACCGCAUUCCUGUAAACUUAUAUUCAUGAAGAAAGUCAGAGUACUUGUUGCAGAUGCAAUGCUAGGUCUUCAGCCAUGUGCUAUAGAAACAGAAGGUGACAAAUAUAACCAAGGAUUGGGAGGAGAAAAAGAAGAAAGCCAAUUUGGGAAAUGAGACUGUAAAGUUUAUAAUGCUACUGAUUUUCAAACAUUUUCAGAAGCAAUGGAAAGAAGAAUGCGAAGAAAAUGAGUUUAUUUUCCAAAAUGCUUUUUUUGUUAUUGUUUUGCAAUUUCCCUUUGUUAACAUCAUAUAGGUUAUGGGGGUUUCUGUUUUGAAAAAAAUAAAUACUGCACCGUGUGUGGAUUGCUACUCAGCACUCAGCAAUAAACAAG